GGCUUCGUAGCCCAACUGGUAGGGCGCUUGCCACGUUGAGGCAUGUUUUUUCUAUCGCUGGUUCGAAUCCAGCCGAAGCCC
rnacentral:tRNA from 1 species